UAAUACGUAGGGGGCAAGCGUUGUCCGGAAUUAUUGGGCGUAAAGCGCAUGUAGGCGGUUCCGUAAGUCAGAUGUCAAAUCCCCGGGCUUAACCCGGGUCCGCAUCUGAUACUGCGGGGCUUGAGAGAUAUAGAGGAAAGCGGAACUACCGGUGUAGCGGUGAAAUGCGUAGAUAUCGGUAGGAACACCAGUGGCGAAGGCGGCUUUCUGGAUAUUUUCUGACGCUGAGAUGCGAAAGCAAGGGGAGCAAACGGG
rnacentral:rRNA from 1 species